UUAAGCGACUAAGCGUACACGGUGGAUGCCCUGGCAGUCAGAGGCGAUGAAGGACGUGCUAAUCUGCGAUAAGCGUCGGUGAGGUGAUAUGAACCGUUAUAACCGGCGAUUUCCGAAUGGGGAAACCCAGUGUGAUUCGUCACACUAUCAUUAACUGAAUCCAUAGGUUAAUGAGGCGAACCGGGGGAACUGAAACAUCUAAGUACCCCGAGGAAAAGAAAUCAACCGAGAUUCCCCCAGUAGCGGCGAGCGAACGGGGAGGAGCCCAGAGCCUGAAUCAGUGUGUGUGUUAGUGGAAGCGUCUGGAAAGGCGCGCGAUACAGGGUGACAGCCCCGUACACAAAAAUGCACAUAUUGUGAGCUCGAUGAGUAGGGCGGGACACGUGGUAUCCUGUCUGAAUAUGGGGGGACCAUCCUCCAAGGCUAAAUACUCCUGACUGACCGAUAGUGAACCAGUACCGUGAGGGAAAGGCGAAAAGAACCCCGGCGAGGGGAGUGAAAAAGAACCUGAAACCGUGUACGUACAAGCAGUGGGAGCCUCUUAAUGGGGUGACUGCGUACCUUUUGUAUAAUGGGUCAGCGACUUAUAUUCUGUAGCAAGGUUAACCGAAUAGGGGAGCCGAAGGGAAACCGAGUCUUAACUGGGCGUUAAGUUGCAGGGUAUAGACCCGAAACCCGGUGAUCUAGCCAUGGGCAGGUUGAAGGUUGGGUAACACUAACUGGAGGACCGAACCGACUAAUGUUGAAAAAUUAGCGGAUGACUUGUGGCUGGGGGUGAAAGGCCAAUCAAACCGGGAGAUAGCUGGUUCUCCCCGAAAGCUAUUUAGGUAGCGCCUCGUGAAUUCAUCUCCGGGGGUAGAGCACUGUUUCGGCAAGGGGGUCAUCCCGACUUACCAACCCGAUGCAAACUGCGAAUACCGGAGAAUGUUAUCACGGGAGACACACGGCGGGUGCUAACGUCCGUCGUGAAGAGGGAAACAACCCAGACCGCCAGCUAAGGUCCCAAAGUCAUGGUUAAGUGGGAAACGAUGUGGGAAGGCCCAGACAGCCAGGAUGUUGGCUUAGAAGCAGCCAUCAUUUAAAGAAAGCGUAAUAGCUCACUGGUCGAGUCGGCCUGCGCGGAAGAUGUAACGGGGCUAAACCAUGCACCGAAGCUGCGGCAGCGACACUAUGUGUUGUUGGGUAGGGGAGCGUUCUGUAAGCCUGUGAAGGUGGCCUGUGAGGGUUGCUGGAGGUAUCAGAAGUGCGAAUGCUGACAUAAGUAACGAUAAAGCGGGUGAAAAGCCCGCUCGCCGGAAGACCAAGGGUUCCUGUCCAACGUUAAUCGGGGCAGGGUGAGUCGACCCCUAAGGCGAGGCCGAAAGGCGUAGUCGAUGGGAAACAGGUUAAUAUUCCUGUACUUGGUGUUACUGCGAAGGGGGGACGGAGAAGGCUAUGUUGGCCGGGCGACGGUUGUCCCGGUUUAAGCGUGUAGGCUGGUUUUCCAGGCAAAUCCGGAAAAUCAAGGCUGAGGCGUGAUGACGAGGCACUACGGUGCUGAAGCGACAAAUGCCCUGCUUCCAGGAAAAGCCUCUAAGCAUCAGGUAACAUCAAAUCGUACCCCAAACCGACACAGGUGGUCAGGUAGAGAAUACCAAGGCGCUUGAGAGAACUCGGGUGAAGGAACUAGGCAAAAUGGUGCCGUAACUUCGGGAGAAGGCACGCUGAUAUGUAGGUGAAGCGACUUGCUCGUGGAGCUGAAAUCAGUCGAAGAUACCAGCUGGCUGCAACUGUUUAUUAAAAACACAGCACUGUGCAAACACGAAAGUGGACGUAUACGGUGUGACGCCUGCCCGGUGCCGGAAGGUUAAUUGAUGGGGUUAGCGGUAACGCGAAGCUCUUGAUCGAAGCCCCGGUAAACGGCGGCCGUAACUAUAACGGUCCUAAGGUAGCGAAAUUCCUUGUCGGGUAAGUUCCGACCUGCACGAAUGGCGUAAUGAUGGCCAGGCUGUCUCCACCCGAGACUCAGUGAAAUUGAACUCGCUGUGAAGAUGCAGUGUACCCGCGGCAAGACGGAAAGACCCCGUGAACCUUUACUAUAGCUUGACACUGAACAUUGAGCCUUGAUGUGUAGGAUAGGUGGGAGGCUUUGAAGUGUGGACGCCAGUCUGCAUGGAGCCGACCUUGAAAUACCACCCUUUAAUGUUUGAUGUUCUAACGUGGGCCCCUUACCGGGGUUGCGGACAGUGUCUGGUGGGUAGUUUGACUGGGGCGGUCUCCUCCUAAAGAGUAACGGAGGAGCACGAAGGUUGGCUAAUCCUGGUCGGACAUCAGGAGGUUAGUGCAAUGGCAUAAGCCAGCUUGACUGCGAGCGUGACGGCGCGAGCAGGUGCGAAAGCAGGUCAUAGUGAUCCGGUGGUUCUGAAUGGAAGGGCCAUCGCUCAACGGAUAAAAGGUACUCCGGGGAUAACAGGCUGAUACCGCCCAAGAGUUCAUAUCGACGGCGGUGUUUGGCACCUCGAUGUCGGCUCAUCACAUCCUGGGGCUGAAGUAGGUCCCAAGGGUAUGGCUGUUCGCCAUUUAAAGUGGUACGCGAGCUGGGUUUAGAACGUCGUGAGACAGUUCGGUCCCUAUCUGCCGUGGGCGCUGGAGAACUGAGGGGGGCUGCUCCUAGUACGAGAGGACCGGAGUGGACGCAUCACUGGUGUUCGGGUUGUCAUGCCAAUGGCACUGCCCGGUAGCUAAAUGCGGAAGAGAUAAGUGCUGAAAGCAUCUAAGCACGAAACUUGCCCCGAGAUGAGUUCUCCCUGACUCCUUGAGAGUCCUGAAGGAACGUUGAAGACGACGACGUUGAUAGGCCGGGUGUGUAAGCGCAGCGAUGCGUUGAGCUAACCGGUACUAAUGAACCGUGAGGCUUAACCUUACAA
rnacentral:rRNA from 1 species